rnacentral:rRNA from 1 species
UACGUAGGGGGCGAGCGUUGUCCGGAUUUAUUGGGCGUAAAGAGCUCGUAGGCGGUUUGGUAAGUCGGAUGUGAAAUCUCCAGGCUCAACCUGGAGGGGUCAUUCGAUACUGCCAUGACUAGAGUUCGGUAGGGGUGUGUGGAAUUCCUGGUGGAGCGGUGAAAUGCGCAGAUAUCAGGAGGAACACCGGUGGCGAAGGCGGAUCUCUGGGCCUUACCUGACGCUGAGGCGCGAAAGCUAGGGGAGCGAACAGG